rnacentral:rRNA from 1 species
UACGUAGGGUGCGAGCGUUAAUCGGAAUUACUGGGCGUAAAGCGUGCGCAGGCGGUUCGUCGUGUCCGAUGUGAAAGCCCCGGGCUCAACCUGGGAAUGGCAUUGGAAACUGGCGGACUCGAGUGUGGCAGAGGGGGGUGGAAUUCCGCGUGUAGCAGUGAAAUGCGUAGAGAUGCGGAGGAACACCGAUGGCGAAGGCAGCCCCCUGGGCUAACACUGACGCUCAGGCACGAAAGGCGUGGGGAGC